UCUGAAUACGGGGGUAAAGCUGCUUGCGGGAGCCGAUACAUUCGGCUGAAAGCACGACGUACCCAACGGCAGCCAUCCCAUCUGACAGCCAUUAUUGAAGAAGCAGCCGCAGACAUGCCACCUGCGCCACGUGCUGACAAGGCUGGUGCAGUGCAGUCCUUGGAAGCUGCCAUAAGUUGCCAAAGUGAGAUGACUGGGAGUGACAUCGUUCAUCUUCAAAAGGAAGUAGUGAGCCUACAACAAGAGCUUGCAUCUGUGAAGACGGAACUAGGGGCAGGAAAAUUCACCAAAACCGUAAUGUGCCAUAAUGAUGAAAAAGUGUUGUAUUAUACAGAGCUGCCACCAUUUCUUUUGCUUUUUUCCAUGUUAAGCCUUUUCAAAGAACACGUCUCACACUCUUCUAGAAAUGUCCUCACGCAGUUUGAUGAGCUGGUUAUGUUUUUCAUGCAGAUGAGGCUUGCAAUUCACCUUCAAGAUUUGGCUUAUCGCUUUAAGGUGUCACAGCCAACCACUUACAGAAUUUGCGAGAAGUGGCUAGACGUUUGUUACGACCACCUGAGUUCACUGGUGUGCUGGCCUGAGAAAGAAGACGUAAUGAGAACCAUGACAGUUAGUUUCAUUGAGAAUUUGAGAAUUGAGAGAAUCGAGAAUUGAGAAUGUGAGGAUCAUAUUGGAUUGCUUUGAAGUUGUCAUCCAAAGGCCAAGUUCGCUUCUGACGUGAGCUCAGACAUGGUCCCAGUACAAACAUCACAACAUGGUGAAGUUCCUGCUAGCAAUAUGCCCACAAGGCAUUAUAACAUAUACUUCUAAAGCAUUUGUUGGGGGUACAGCGACAAGCUGAUCACUGAGGACAGCGGUGUGCUACAGUUACUUGACAGGGGAGACAUUGUUUUGGCAGACAGGGGCUUCCUAAUAGCAAAAAGCCUUGGAAUGUGUUGUGCACACUGGCUGUCCCUGCCUUUGCAAAAGGCAAAAGGCAGCUAUCUAGCAAGGAAGUUGCGCAAACGAGGGAAAUCGCUAAUGUGCGCAUUCAAGUGGAGCGUGUAAUAGUACAGAGAGCUUGAGAAAUCGAAGACAGGAAAGGCAGGGAGGUUAUACAGGCGCACGUCCGGUUUGCUAUACCCUGCACUGCGUGAAGGGGGUAUGGAGAUUAAGAGAGAGAGAGAGCACAGUUUCACGCACAGUAUAAGGUUCCCACCGAGUCUACACACGGUUCCCAAGACCUAUCGACUUGAGAUAUUUCAAGAGCGCUUUUGUGGCUUUCUGUGCCAUCGACGCGUACGGCCAAGGAUCUUCAUUACGCAAAAUGGUCUAGAGUCCAGCUGUUUCAGUGCUGUCCGGAGAACUCCGCGGUCGACGUUGUAUUUGGGACAGAUACAUAGGAUGUAUUCAAUCGUUUCUGUGGUUCCGCAAGAGUCUCACAUGGGCGUAUCCCCCAUUCCAAUGCGGAACGAGUAGGCCUUCGCAAAAGCCAGAGGCGGCACAAUACUGUCGCCUCAGAGCGGGAAAUUCUUGAUGGCACUUGUAGCUUUAAGGAUGGAUCCAGCCUAUGAAGAUGACGCUGCGGGACGUUGGGAGAAGACCAGUAUUUGUGUGUCACAGCUUUAGCCACAAUAUGAGGCUUUCUUGCAGCGUCGGUUCUUGAUAAGGGGAUUGGAACUGGUCGGGCAUCCAGAUGGGCAGACCGGGUGGCUUCGUCAGCGAGGUCAUUACCAGCAAUGCCGGUAUGUCCAGGUAGCCACUGGAAUAUAAUUUCAUGCCCUUUAGCGAUAGCUUGAUGGUGAUCUUCUCUUAUUUGUAAUAAUGUAAUAAUGUAAUUUGUAAUAGUGUAAUAGGAAUGAUGCGGAACAAAUACACUAUACUGAAGGGGACAUUGUCAGUAGAGAUUCUGAGAAAGAAUAGCAACAAUGAGUGUCCAAUUGACAAGAUUGUGAAAGUGUGUUGUGUACUAAUAAACUUGUGCAACUCCG